UACAGAGGGUGCGAGCGUUGUCCGGAAUCACUGGGCGUAAAGCGUGCGUAGGUGGCGCGUUAAGUGUGAUGUUAAAUCGCGGGGCUCAACCCUGUCGAUGCAUCGCAUACUGGCGUGCUAGAGGACAGCAGAGGCAAGUGGAAUUGGUAGUGUAGCAGUGAAAUGCGUAGAUAUUACCAGGAACACCAAUGGCGAAGGCAGCUUGCUGGGCUACUCCUGACACUGAGGUACGAAAGCGUGGGGAGCGAACAGG
rnacentral:rRNA from 1 species